rnacentral:lncRNA from 1 species
GGGUGUCUGAAAGCAUCAUUCUUUGUUUAUUUGAUGGUCUUAUAAAAUAUUUUGGAAAGUUAAGGUUACAUAGUUACCAAAGCAGGUAACCAGUAAAUAAUAGUGUAAAAAUUGGGUUGUUUACUUCCGGUGCUGGUUACUUUCUUAUAUGCAAUGAAAUGUAGUGUGAAAUUUUCACUGUAGCACUGGACAGGAUUAAACUUUAUUCAUGCAAAGUAUUUCUUUGGUUGAAAUAAAGGUAAAUACUGUACAUUUUUUUUAAAAGUGCCAAUUUAACAAAGACUAAUAGGGGAAAAUCAAUGGUGGUAUUACACCUAUUUAGGGAAACUACACGUGCACUGGUGACCUUAUUGUACUUUCAUUUUUAAAAAUUAUUACUAAACUAGUUCAUACGUUGUAAAAAUGGACUAUUCGGAAUGGAUUGAGACACAGAAAGCACGUUUGAGGGAAAAUUGCCUUGAAAUGGGGGUUUACGGGUGUUUGCUAAGUCAAAUGGGUGGACAGACAAGGCUGUAUUCAGUGUAUAGUGUUAGGUUUCCUUGGGACAGAAAAAAAAGAACCUUGUAUGGUCACAGAUUUGCAUACAUGUUGCACACUGAGAAAUUUGACCUAUCAGAGGAAUUUGAUGUGUCUCAUCUGUGUCAUCAGAAGAGAUGCAUUAACCCUGAGCACUUGUCUUUCGAGCCGCCUCAUAUUAACCAAGACCGCCAAGUUUGUCGUGGUACACACCCAACAAGGUGUCGAAAACACAAACCCUACCAAGACUGUUUGAUUUAAAAUGGUAAAACAAUAAUGGUUUUAAAGAGAAGUCUUAUUUUUCUUCAUAUGAUAUAAUUUAAUUUAUGAAAUACACUUUUGAAUCAACAUACAUAUAUUACAUUGCGACCUUUCUUAUAGCUUGCCAUGCUAAUCCCCAUUUUACGUGAGCCUCUGUGUCAAAUUUUAAAUCACCUUUACAGUUUUGUUUAUACAACAUGUGAUUUUUCAUUUCAGUGUUAACCAUGAAUCUGACAAGCAUUCUGUUGAAAAAUCUUAUAUGUGAAUUGGUCUGCAGAUGACACUUUAGCAUUGAGGUAUGUAUCAACUAAUGUCAUGUUUUAUUUUUGUUUUGGCCGCAAAAGUUUACAAUUUGCCAUUGUGCCAUCUGUAUUUUGCACCGACAAAACAUCAUCUAAACACUUGCCUUGGAUUUAUACACAUCAGAAUCCAGUCUCACAUACUUAAAUUUUAUAAUUCGUACCAAUUUUUUUUUUUACCAGCAUUCAAAGGGACAUAACCCUUUUUAAAACCAUUUUGAUGUAUUUUUUAUUACUCUUUCUCCUCAUUUUUUAAUGUAAAAUACAAGAAAGUGGACUUUUCAGGUGUAAAUCUAUUAGAAAUAUACUGCAAUAAAUAAAUGAAAUGAUUUUGAUAUCAGUAACAAUUAUGAUUGACUGAAAGGGAACCGUUAUUUGUCAUACUCGGGGAACAGACCAAAAACUCAAGUUACACAUAAGGGCUUAUAGAAACUUCGGUGGAGACUGUUAACAUUUAUAGAAACAGUUCUUUCAGCUAAAACACUUUAAUUGUUGAUUUGACAUUACAUUUCUUUCAUUUUUUCUGGGAAAAUAAUUACAUUUGCUUUAUUUUUUAGGCAAAAGAUAUCAAUUUUUGAUGAAAAAAGAAGGAAGAAGGAAAAUGGACCAAAACAGACCAAAACAGACCUUCAAAUGAACUCUAAAAGGUGCA